rnacentral:rRNA from 1 species
UACGAAGGGAGCUAGCGUUGUUCGGAAUCACUGGGCGUAAAGGGUGCGUAGGCGGGUCUUUAAGUCAGGGGUGAAAUCCUGGAGCUCAACUCCAGAACUGCCUUUGAUACUGAAGAUCUUGAGUUCGGGAGAGGUGAGUGGAACUGCGAGUGUAGAGGUGAAAUUCGUAGAUAUUCGCAAGAACACCAGUGGCGAAGGCGGCUCACUGGCCCGAUACUGACGCUGAGGUGCGAAAGCGUGGGGAGCAAACAGG